AUGGCCAGGGCUACACACGUACUACAAUGGCCGGUCAAAGGGCAGCGACAUUGCGAGAUGGAGCGAAUCCCGAAAAGCCGGUCUCAGUCCGGAUUGGAGUCUGCAACUCGACUCCAUGAAGUUGGAAUCGCUAGUAAUCGUGGAUCAGCAUGCCACGGUGAAUACGUUCCCGGGCCUU
rnacentral:rRNA from 1 species